rnacentral:rRNA from 1 species
AUGAUCAGUUCUGCGGCUUGCACUCAUUUUACUGCCAUGAAUGGUGUAUUGUUCAAUCCGCCAGUAGCUAGCGGAUGUCAUGUUGUGAUUAAGGUUUACCACCUUCCUCUACUAAAUCGGUUCGUUUUAUGUGACAUUCUUAGAAUACUAUGUGCUUACUCUGUUUGGUUAAAGCAUGGUGAAUCUGAUGUUGACCGACAUUAUUUGUGUUGCACAUUUACAACAAUAACUGUCAGACAAGAGAAUUGCUCACCAAUCCUUAGGUUCAGAAGCAUGUGUACCGAUUUUUUGUUAGGCAUCAACUUUUGUUUGCAUCAAAUUAGAACUUGGGCCUUGCCUUCAUCAAAUGUCUCUAAUGCUUACCAAUAUUCAAAAUAUAGAGAUCAACACUGA